AUUGAACGCUGGCGGCAGGCCUAACACAUGCAAGUCGAGCGGUAGAGAGGUGCUUGCAUCUCUUGAGAGCGGCGGACGGGUGAGUAAUGCCUAGGAAUCUGCCUAGUGGUGGGGGAUAACGUUCGGAAACGGACGCUAAUACCGCAUACGUUCUACGGGAGAAAGCAGGGGACCUUCGGGCCUUGCGCUAUCAGAUGAGCCUAGGUCGGAUUAGCUAGUAGGUGAGGUAAUGGCUCACCUAGGCGACGAUCCGUAACUGGUCUGAGAGGAUGAUCAGUCACACUGGAACUGAGACACGGUCCAGACUCCUACGGGAGGCAGCAGUGGGGAAUAUUGGACAAUGGGCGAAAGCCUGAUCCAGCCAUGCCGUGUGUGUGAAGAA
rnacentral:rRNA from 1 species